AGUGGCGAACGGGUGAGUAACACGUGGGCAACCUGCCCAAAAGGGGGGGAUAACACUUGGAAACAGGUGCUAAUACCGCAUAACCAUAGUUACCGCAUGGUAACUAUGUAAAAGGUGGCUAUGCUACCGCUUUUGGAUGGGCCCGCGACGCAUUAGCUAGUUGGUGGGGUAAAGGCUUACCAAGGCAAUGAUGCGUAGCCGAACUGAGAGGUUGAUCGGCCACAUUGGGACUGAGACACGGCCCAAACUCCUACGGAAGGCAGCAG
rnacentral:rRNA from 1 species